rnacentral:rRNA from 1 species
CUACGGGUUGCACCAGUUACGAAACAUUUACAAUGCGGGAAACCGUGAUAAUGCGAUUCCAAGUGCCUGCAAAAACAGGCUUUUGUAUAGUGUAGAAAGCUAUGCGAAUAAGGGGGGGGCAAUAUACGUGCCAGCCGCCGCGGUAAUACGUAAUCCCCGAGUGGUAUCCAGCAUUAUUUGGCUUAAAGCGUGUGUAGCCGGUUUACUAAGUCUUUUGUGAAAACAGUGUGCUUAACAUAUUGAAUUGCAAAAGAUACUGAUAGGCUAGAAAUAGGGAGACGUUGAGGGUAUUCUUAGAGUAGGAGUAGAAUCUUAAGAUACUAAGAAGACCACCUGUGGCGAAGGCGCUCAACGAGAACUAAUUUGACGGUGAGACACGAAAGCUGGGGGCGCAACCCGGAUUAGAUACCCUGGUAGUC